rnacentral:rRNA from 1 species
GACGAACGCUGGCGGCGCGCUUAACACAUGCAAGUCGAACGGAAAGGCCUGCUUUCCCUUGUGGAUUGCGGGUACUCGAGUGGCGAACGGGUGAGUAACACGUGAGUGAUCUGCCCCCAACUUGGGUAUAAGCCUGGGAAACUGGGUCUAAUUCCCGAUAGGACUGCAGGGUGGUGCCUGUGGUGGAAAACGAUUUUCUAGUGGUUGGGGAUGAGCUCGCGGCCUAUCAGCUUGUUGGUGGGGUAAUGGCCUACCAAGGCGGCGACGGGUAGCCGGCCUGGGAGGGUGGACGGCCACAUUGGGACUGAGAUACGGCCCAGACUCCUACGGGCGGCAGCAGUGGGGAAUAUUGCACAAUGGGCGGAAGCCUGAUGCAGCGACGCCGCGUGGGGGAUGACGGCCUUCGGGUUGUAAACUCCUUUCGACCGCGAGGAAGCCACCUGGUUGGAAGGGUGGUGACGGUAGUGGUAGAAGAAGCACCGGCUAACUACGUG